GGGUGACUAGUCUAGUGGUCAGGACGCUUCGUUGUGGUCAGCUGCGAAUCCGAAGAAACCCAGGUUCGAUUCCUGGGUCGCCCA